AGAGGAAGUAAAAGUCGUAACAAGGUUUCCGUAGGUGAACCUGC
rnacentral:rRNA from 1 species